AAACAUUGCGUUGAACCAGUAAAUGGCUUGUCCAGUGUUGUUUGGGGUAAUAUUAUGUUAUAAUACAAUGAAUUUGAUUGACUACAAGAGCUAGAGAUGCAUGAAGAGUGUUUAGAAGAGUGUAGAAAGACUUGCUGAAAUUUAGGCUGAAAUGAGCUAAGAACCCACAACCAUUGCUUUCAAGCAUUAAAUGGCUUAUAUAGUGUUUUUUGUGGUUAGAAUAUGUUAGAAUCGUUAAGUUUGAUUGAUUACAAGUGCUAGAGAAUCAUGAAUAGUGUUUAGAAGUUUGGAGAAA
rnacentral:lncRNA from 1 species